rnacentral:snRNA from 1 species
AUGGUCUAGUUCCUAUUCAGAAUGAAUAAAUCUUUUGCCUUUUACUAACAAUUUUCAUGGAGAGUAACAGUUAUGAGUCAGUAACCAAAUUUUUUGAGGCCUUGCAUAUGCAGGGCU